GCAAACUUGGUCAUUUAGAGGAAGUAAAAGUCGUAACAAGGUUUCCGUAGGUGAACCUGCGGAAGGAUCAUCACUGAUUCGCGGGGUCUGUGUUCCUGUGUGUGCUGCGUGUAUUGUAUAGCGCGCACAUACAGCGAGCCGCCCAAACCAAUCUUGUGUGCACCGUUUCACUGGUCAAAGGAUGGCGUGUGGUGGUUGUGCGUGUUGGUGGGAGUGCGUGCGUGCGCGCGCGUAUCACAGUAAUGUGUGCCUGCGCGCCGCUGCCCUCACCGACUGCACGCGCCCCGUCGUUCUAAAUUUACACAAUAAUCUCUUGGUGUUAACUUUGUCUAACGCGCAUUACUUAAAAUAACAUAUACAACUUUUAACAAUGGAUCUCUUGGCUCUCGCAUCGAUGAAGAACGCAGC
rnacentral:misc_RNA from 1 species